AAGGAGGCUAAUGAUUCUGCCCCUGUGACACUUGGUGGUGACGUGUGAGCUGAUUCACCUGGACACUCAGCAAAAUAUGGACUCUACACCAUGAGGCAGGCACACGUUAAUACUCUAUAUGAGCACAUAAGCAUGAGGAUGUCCUCACACACCUGUAACCUAUCAGCUCAUCUGGCAGAAUAGAGAGAGAAGAGACAACACCACAUCUCCCGUUCCUGGAAAGCCUUCAGCCAUCCUUCGAUGACUGAGAACCUUCAUCAGCUCUGUCUCCUGUCUGCCUACAAUUAUUAUAAUAAAUAUUGUGUUUGACAAGUUUUUUGUGCUGCCAAAUAUCUCAUUUUGAUUCCUGUUUUUAUAUUUUAAGGGAUAUUUAUAAAUUACAUUAAUUGAAUUAUCACAUUGUUGCAUGUUUAACUAGCUCUACUGUGAUCAAUUAAACUAGCACCUCACUGUUAAAAGCUCGUUUUAAUUUCAAGCAUGUUUAAGUAUUUAUGGACAUGAACAAAAAAGGAAAUAUAUAAAUUGAGAUUUAUUUAAUUAAUAUAAGAAAUAAGGGGGAAAGAGUCAUUGAAAGGCACAUUCUUCUGGAAGCUCCUGAUCCUGACAACACCAGCAGAGGAGACCACCUGCAGACACCAGAGGAUCACCUACGACCAAGAGAGCAGCUGGUAUCAGUAAAUAAAUAAUGUAAUCAGGGCAGUUUUAGUGGGCUGAACACAUUACAGAAUAAUUUUCUCAUGGGGUAGUUUCAUAACUUUCUAUGCAGCAGACUAACUUGAGCCCAGGGCUCCUGGAAAGCUGCUAUCCAGCACGUUUCAGUGGUUUUCCUGCUUUAACAGGUUAGAUUAGCUGUUAAGCAGCUCAGCUAUUUGUUGCUGAUUAAAACCAGGUGUGUUGAAGCAGAUUAACCUCUAAAACAUGCUGAAUGCUAGCUCUCUAGGGCCGCGGAGCCAAACCCUGCAGCUAAUCUAAUGCUAUA